CAGUAGCCGCGGGAAAACGUAGGGCGCAAGCGUUAUCCGGAAUUAUUGGGCGUAAAGGGCUCGUAGGCGGUUUGUCGCGUCUGCCGUGAAAGUCCGGGGCUCAACCCCGGAUCUGCGGUGGGUACGGGCAGACUAGAGUGAUGUAGGGGAGACUGGAAUUCCUGGUGUAGCGGUGAAAUGCUCAGAUAUCAGGAGGAACACCGAUGGCGAAGGCAGGUCUCUGGGCAUUAACUGACGCUGAGGAGCGAAAGCAUGGGGAGCGAACAGGAUUAGAUACCCGCGUAGUCCCUGUCUCUUAUAC
rnacentral:rRNA from 1 species